rnacentral:rRNA from 1 species
AUUGAACGCUGGCGGCAGGCUUAACACAUGCAAGUCGAGCGGGGACUUCGGUCCUAGCGGCGAACGGGUGAGGAAUGCUUGGGAAUCUGCCUAGUAGUGGGGGAUAACGUUUCGAAAGGAACGCUAAUACCGCAUACGUCCUACGGGAGAAAGGGGGGGAUCUUCGGACCUCUCGCUAUUAGAUGAGCCCAAGUCGGAUUAGCUAGUUGGUGGGGUAAAGGCCUACCAAGGCGACGAUCCGUAGCUGGUCUGAGAGGAUGAUCAGCCACACUGGAACUGAGACACGGUCCAGACUCCUACGGGAGGCAGCAGUGGGGAAUAUUGGACAAUGGGGGAAACCCUGAUCCAGCCAUGCCGCGUGUGUGAAGAAGGCCUUCGGGUUGUAAAGCACUUUAAGCGAGGAGGAAGGGCUCUAGGUUAAUACCUUGGAGCAUUGACGUUACUCGCAGAAUAAGCACCGGCUAACUCUGUGCCAGCCGCCGCCGUAACAC